GGACACAUGAGUAUGCAGUAAAAGUAUCAAAACAUGCACAGGAACUACCAUCAGAAGCCUAAAGAAGUGGCUUUUCGGGUGCAGUGGCUCACGUCUGUAAUCCUAGCACUUUGUGGGGCUCAGGCAAGUAGACUGCUUGAGCCCCGGAGUUCGAGACCAGCCUGGGCAACAUGGCGAAACCCUGCCUCAACAAAAACCACAAAAAUUAGCCAGGCACGGUGGCGUGUGCCUGUGCUCCCAGCUACCCAUGAGGCUGAGGUGGGAGGAUCACCUGAACCCAGGAGGUCAAGGCUGCAGUAAGCCAUGAUCACACCACUGCAUUCCAGCCUGCGUGACAGUGAGGCGCUGUCACAAAAAAGAAGAAGGAAGAAAGAAGAAGGAGGAGAAGGAGAAGGAGAAGCUUUUCUGGUUGGGGUCAGACAGAAGAAUAGUGGAGCAUGGCAAUGAGCAGUGAGGGGAGUUCCACCAGGGAUUCAAUUACUUCUAACAUGUUUUGCGAAAUACGGCAAACUUUAAGAUUUUAAAACUGGCAGCGAUCGCUUCUCAGCCUUUUGGCUAAGGUCAUAUGUAAAACUGGUGUGCUCUCUAAGGACCUUUAACUCCAACAUUAGUUGGCUCUCUGAUUGCAAGGAAGCUCUACAAGAUGCCUACAGUUGCCUUUAAUGAUCUUGGAACUUACUCUAUAGUCUCCUCUUCAUGGGAAAAUGGAGUUUUAUGGAGAGAUCAACCUGGGAACUGUUAGAUCCUCUCUAUGCUUGGAAGAUCCUUGUAACCCAUCACAGAGAGCAAUUCAGAGAAGAAAAUUUGCACACUCUACUCCAAAGAGGACUACCCUGUGCCCUGGGUCAUUAUAAUCACCCCCAAAAUGAGAAUAAUAAAAGCAUGUUGUUAUUGAGAACUCAUAAUGGGUCAGAUAUGGAGCCCAGCAUUUUAUACAUAUUAACCCGUUUAAUUUCCACAACAGUCCUAUGAAAUUGGAACUAAUAUCAAUCUCAUUUUACAGGUUAGGAAACUAAGGCUCAAAGAGGUUAAGGGACUUGUCCAAAAUCAUGUUGCUGCUAAUAGCAGAAGCCGACUUCAACGUCAGUGCUUUUAACCACUAUGCUGUUAAAAAUGGAGACCAAUAUGAAGACCCUGUUGAGAUCUGAAGACCCAUCAGAGUAAAAGUAGUGAACUGCAUUGUCUAGCACACAGUAGCUACUCAAUAAAAACAGGAAUCUAGAGGGAUGCCUCAGAGAGAAUUCAGAAUAGGCUGGCCACACACUGAGUUAUUAAGGAGCAGUGGCUUUUAGGGACAGAGGAGGAACAUACUGAAUAGCUCUCCAAAGCAAUGAUGAAACCAGGUCAAUGACUACUGGCAGAGUGAGAGAAAGAUAAACAAGCAGGUCCCAAUAGACAGGCUGAGGGGCGCAUGUCACAAGGGGAACUGCCAGAAAUCCAUACCACGUUCCAAGAGUCUGUCUGCAUUGCUUAAUGGUUCUAGGACUAUGUGAAUGGAUCUCAUAUACUGCUGAAUUCCUGGUAUAAAGCUUUAAAAGGGUCAGUUCUGGGUCAAGUGAGCUGAGAGAAAGCUCUGCCUCCAACUUCUGAGGUCAGUUCUCCUUCAUAUUUGUGCCUGUUCCUCAUGGAAGGGAAGAAGGAAAGAGAUACCCGCUGACAUUUCAAUAUUUUCCCCUAGAACAUUUGACUAAGUCUUCCCCAGAUUCCUCUUCCCUAUGGACCUGUAGCCUUUGUAUUCUAGCCCAGUAUCUCCAGAAUCCUAACCUUUCCUUCCACUCCUUUGUCCACAUGGCUUGUUUCUUUUGAAAAACCUUCACAUCUCCCUAAACAAGAAUGGUUGCCCGCCAGCAACAAGGAAGCGUUGCUGUCCCUCAAAAAGGGUCUGGAAAGGCUGGUCUAUGGGACAGAAAGAAAAUCUGUCCUGUGAUGAAGACAUGUGAGGGCAGACACCAACCAAGAGCCAAGGGCAGGCACACUGCCUCCCAUGAGGAGGGAGGGGAGGGAGGAAAAAGGAAAGGAAGGGAGGGAGGGAGGGAGGGAGAAAGGGCAGGAAAGGAAGGAGGAAGGGAGGAAAGACACAGGGAGAGAGGAAAGGAGGGAGGGAGGUAGGGAAGGAAGGGACUUCCCUUCCCUGGGGAGGAUUACCUUGAUGGAUAGUUACAUCUGAUAUGAGGAUUUGGAGACCUCAGACCAUACUCAGGGCCUGCCAGUAGCCUUUGAAAAGUUUUUCUAUAGAAUGAGUCAAUAAUACAUUCUAUUAAUGACCUUGAUGGAUAUUUACAUCUGAUAUGAGGAUUUGGAGACCUCAGACCAUACUCAGGGCCUGCCAGUAGCCUUUGAAAAGUUUUUCUUAUAAAAUGAGUCAAUAAUACAUUCUAUUAAUGACCUUGAUGGACAUUCUGUGCUGUUUUGUUUUUUCAGCCCUAAGUCCCUUAAAAAUGUUCUGCUGAGUGGUCCUGAUAUCCAUCCCACUUUAUCUCUCUCCACUCCCAAGGGGGAUCCUCUACCCCAGUGAAGUCACCUUGUCUGAUCUUAUUACUGUCUUAUCUCACUGUCUUUUGUUAGAAUUAUGUAUCAGUCUGUCUCUCAAACUACAAUAUAAACCUAAAGACUAAUGUACUAGAUUUCCUAUUUGUCCCUCCAGGUCCACUUUCCACCUUCUCCAUCCUGCCCUUGGGAGGAUGAACUCUUCCGUUCCCCACCAACCCACCUUGGGUCCCUUGCACCUGUGGCUGCUGGUGGGUGUGACCAAUGGGAGGUGCAGAUGAAAGAUUGGAGGAUGAUAAGAGAGUCCAGGUAUUUAUUCCCUCCUGCCAGGCUGUGCUUUAAGCAGUGGUUGUGUUCUUCUACUAAAUGCCAUAGCUCCUAUCCGAUGUCCCCUCUCCAACAGCCACAGUGCAGAUCUGGUAGCCACUCCUUCCCUGUGCCCGUUCAGGCUGAGAGAUGUAAGGAUUUCCCCGUUGUUAAUCCCUGCAUACUGCACCAUCCCUUCCUGGUUCUCAGACUUAACCCACAGCUUUGUAAAGUGUCCACUCAUUAAAUCCCCUGUCAUGUAUUUAUUCAUUAUGGAUUAUUCACUUAGUGUGAAGCUGACACCGUGCUAGGCACACGCCAGUUUCAUGGUGGACAUGAGCCCUGUGUCACUUCUCCCUCCUUCCUGCUAGGGCCCUGGAACCCCAGCCCCAGCCCUAGAGAGGCGCCUCCUACCCAAUUCUUUUCCCUUUGCUAAUUCUACUGAAGGUGAUUGAUAUAUCUUUGGGUUUAGGCUUAGAAAUCUCUCUUACAAUGUAAAUAUGGCUUGUAGAAGAAGUACAUUCUUAUCUUGCUCAUUAUGGAAGUGAAUGAGCUUAUCAAACUUGUUGGAAAGAGCGGGUAAAUAUAGCAUAUUUUGAGAGCCUGCCAUUUACUUGCCAUUAUUGAAGUGUUACUGCUUCUGUGAAUCCCUCAAGACAGUGCAGUAGAUGUUGCUUUAGGUUCUGAAGAGGGAGGGGAAGCUUGGUCAUGGCAGUACUAAGGAGGGCGCUGAGGGUGAUGAGUGCAGGGCUGUGCAGACAGGAGAGUAAGUGGAGGGGAUUGUGCCCAAAGAUAGGGAAAGACCCUGAAAGGAAACUGGAUUCAUUCACAUAUUUGUGCAGGGCUGGUCUGGCCCACCCACUUCCUUCCUCCUCCUCCUCCUCCCUGCCUGCCAUUACUUCUCUACAUGAACCACUACUUCCUCCUCUUCUUUUCCUGCUGUUUUUACUCAUAUAUGUACAGUUCAGGUUACACAGGAAGCCC
rnacentral:lncRNA from 1 species